rnacentral:rRNA from 1 species
UGACCUGCGGAAGGAUCAUUAGCGUACGAGCGCGGGUCGCGUAACGCGCCCGAGGCUCCAUCCCGUGUCUACCUGCCUCCGUUGCUUUGGCGGGCCGCGGGGCCCUCGCGCCCCCCGUCCCCCGCGGACGCGUGCCCGCCGGAGACCCCCUCCAACCCCGUCGAUCCAGUGACGUCCGAGCAGCGACGAAUCUAUUAAAACUUUCAACAACGGAUCUCUUGGUUCUGGCAUCGAUGAAGAACGCAGCGAAAUGCGAUAAGUAAUGUGAAUUGCAGAAUUCAGUGAAUCAUCGAAUCUUUGAACGCACAUUGCGCCCUCUGGUAUUCCGGGGGGCAUGCCUGUUCGAGCGUCAUUACAUCCCCUCGAGCCCGGCUCGGUCUUGGGAGACGCCCCGUGGCGGGCGUUCCCGAAAACUAGCGGCGACGCGGUCGGUCCUCAAGCGCUCUACAACCUUUUCGUUCCGCUUCGACGGCCCGGGCGCGUCCGCCGGACAAACCCCCAUUUUCCACGAUUGACCUCGGAUCAGGUAGGGAU